rnacentral:rRNA from 1 species
UACGGAGGGUGCAAGCGUUAUCCGGAUUUACUGGGUUUAAAGGGGGCGUAGGUGGGUCUGUAAGUCAGUGGUGAAAUCUUCGAGCUUAACUCGGAAACUGCCAUUGAUACUAUAGGUCUUGAAUUAUCUGGAGGUGAGCGGAAUAUGUCAUGUAGCGGUGAAAUGCUUAGAUAUGACAUAGAACACCAAUUGCGAAGGCAGCUCACUACGGAUUUAUUGACACUGAGGCACGAAAGCGUGGGGAUCAAACAGG